rnacentral:rRNA from 1 species
UACGGAGGGGGCUAGCGUUGCUCGGAAUUACUGGGCGUAAAGCGCACGUAGGCGGCUUUGUAAGUUAGAGGUGAAAGCCCGGAGCUCAACCCCGGAACUGCCUUUAAGACUGCAGCGCUUGAAUCCAGGAGAGGUGAGUGGAAUUCCGAGUGUAGAGGUGAAAUUCGUAGAUAUUCGGAAGAACACCAGUGGCGAAGGCGGCUCACUGGACUGGUAUUGACGCUGAGGUGCGAAAGCGUGGGGAGCAAACAGG